ensembl:lncRNA
GUCUUUGUCUUUCUCCUCAUAGGUUCAUUCCAUCCUCUUGGUAUCCUUCGCUUCCUUUGGUGGUGGAGGAGGGUGGGAGCUGUGACUUGAAAACUCUGGAGUGAGGGGAAAUGCUUGUUUUCCCAUGUACUGGAGCCAAGGAACUGUCAGGCCUGGAGGUCCUGCUGCGAAGAAGGUGGCUGUCCCUCAUCUCCCUGGCUGUGUGAAGCAGGCAGCUCUGCUCGGCCAGCAGUGACAUGGAUGGGCUGUGCAGCCCGGCCUGAGCCCCCGCCUUGCAAAAGCCACCAGAGACCCAUGGAGGGAAAUGGGAACGUUGAAACAAACAGAAUUUUGAAGCUGUGUCAGUGUUUGGAGGAAAUUAGACAUGCCUGAUCAUAGUGGCCCAUGAUGUUGUGACAGGAGAGAGAAAUACUGCCCGACCGUCUCGGUUGCAAUGGACCUUUGGAGGAUGAAGAGCACAGAACAACUGCAGAUCGCAGUUGUUACUCACAUGGUUGACAGUUGCAUGUGCACCUCUGGGGAUGGGGUUGGGCCUAUUGGUGUGGUUUUCUGCUGCCUAGUCCCACGUUUCAGGUUUAAUGCCUGCCUUGUAGGGUUUGCUCAGGAAUAUUGUUUCUUAUCAUAACCCUGUUUGCAUCAAAACCAAGCAAGCGGCAGCAUCUACUGCUGGGGAUAGAGGGAGAACUGCAGGCUGUGCCGUCCCAUGGCACACAUCUGGAUGUCAGCAGUGGAAACUCAUGAAAGCCAAUCCAUCUCCGUAAGUGUGCAAAGUGCUGCAGAGGCAUGGUACUGCAGUGAGUAACUUCGGUAGGAGAGCUGCGUCUUGCCUAAAGAAUUGAACAAACCGUGGUAGUCCAAUGUCUUCCUCUGGUGUCUGCUGUGCUCCAUGAGCAGAUGAUGAGAGCACAAAGCAAGGAUUCACCCAGCUGGGUUGGCUGUUUCUUUGCAGGUGGCCGUGGCAAUGCGUUGGGAGGGUCCCCCAGGCUCCAGAAGAUGCACGUUGCUCUUCCCCCGCUGCCCUGAAGACAUGGCCAGGCUUCCAUUAAAACACAGACAAAAUCACUUUUCUCUGGGCUGGAAUAGGGCCCGGGGCAUGGUCCUGGCUGCUGCUCUGCCCCUGGGGAUGCGAGCAUGGUACAGUGAGCUCUGAUAAGCAAGCACAGCAUCUCGGGCUGUGUUGAGCGGAAGCAUUUUAAUUUGCAUUAUUAAAAUGUUCUGCAUGGUGUUUAAUGCUAGGGAUGUAAUUUGGUAAACAGCCUUGUAAUUGAUGCCCAAAUAUUACUUGGCAGUUUGGCUCCUCUGUGACAAAUGGAACUGAUGGGGACACAAUGCCAUACCUUCUUCUUGCUCCUCCCACCAUCUGCCUGAAUAUUCGUCUGAGCACGUAAAAAACAGCAUUAAUGUCCAUAAGAACUGGCCCAUCUCAUCAAGUUAAAUAUGAACCAUGUCAGAACAAUUACAAGAGAACAGGGCAAAAAUUGCUUAACCAUAUAGCACUCAUCAUUAAUAGCUAGUUAUUGGCACAACUGAUGUGUAUGACUAUCACACACUGCACUGAUCCAGUACAUAAAUGUUUUCUUUAGCAUAUUUUUAAUGUUGCUAAUUUAUCUGUUACUGUCACACUGGGGCUGUUAGCUUUGAACAAAUGACUGUUAUUAAUCACUGGAGAGCUAUUAGACGCCACAGCCGCGGUGCUAAAUCAACUCAGGAGUGGCACUUGUAGGAAUAUUCAAACAGCAAUGUAAAAUUGCCUGGGUACUGAUGGUGUGGUUAACGCCUCUGGGAUCACAGCCAUGGAGUGCUGCAAAGACUGCUCCUGUGUGUCAGACUCACCCGGUGGAAAUUCCUUUCUCCAAAGAGCGAUUGCAGCUUAAGACCUUAUUUAUUACAAGGUUGUUUUGGAGGGGAGGGGGAAAAAAAGGCAACUGUUGGAGUAGAGCAGUGUGGUGUUUGCACUCAGGCUUUUCUUGUGAUAGAUGUGGGACUCCAGCAGCAGCAGUGCCUUUAAUCUCCCCGU